ACCAGACUCCUACGGGAGGCAGCAGUGGGGGAUAUUGCACAAUGGGGGGAACCCUGAUGCAGCGACGCCGCGUGGGUGAAGAAGCGCCUCGGCGCGUAAAGCCCUGUCAGCAGGGAAGAAAAUGACGGUACCUGAAGAAGAAGCCCCGGCUAACUACGUGCCAGCAGCCGCGGUAAUACGUAGGGGGCAAGCGUUAUCCGGAUUUACUGGGUGUAAAGGGGGCGCAGACGGCGAUGCAGGCCAGGAGUGAAAGCCCGGGGCCCAACCCCGGGACUGCUCUUGGAACUGCGUGGCUGGAGUGCAGGAGGGGCAGGCGGAAUUCCUGGUGUAGCGGUGAAAUGCGUAGAUAUCAGGAGGAACACCGGUGGCGAAGGCGGCCUGCUGGACUGCAACUGACGUUGAGGCCCGAAAGCGUGGGGAGCAAACAGGAUUAGAUACCCGGGUAA
rnacentral:rRNA from 1 species